rnacentral:rRNA from 1 species
CAUGGCUCAGGAUGAACGCUGGCGGCGUGCCUAAUACAUGCAAGUCGAACGAGUUCUCGUUGAUGAUCGGUGCUUGCACCGAGAUUCAACAUGGAACGAGUGGCGGACGGGUGAGUAACACGUGGGUAACCUGCCCUUAAGUGGGGGAUAACAUUUGGAAACAGAUGCUAAUACCGCAUAGAUCCAAGAACCGCAUGGUUCUUGGCUGAAAGAUGGCGUAAGCUAUCGCUUUUGGAUGGACCCGCGGCGUAUUAGCUAGUUGGUGAGGUAAUGGCUCACCAAGGCGAUGAUACGUAGCCGAACUGAGAGGUUGAUCGGCCACAUUGGGACUGAGACACGGCCCAAACUCCUACGGGAGGCAGCAGUAGGGAAUCUUCCACAAUGGACGCAAGUCUGAUGGAGCAACGCCGCGUGAGUGAAGAAGGCUUUCGGGUCGUAAAACUCUGUUGUUGGAGAAGAAUGGUCGGCAGAGUAACUGUUGUCGGCGUGACGGUAUCCAACCAGAAAGCCACGGCUAACUACGUGCCAGCAGCCGCGGUAAUACGUAGGUGGCAAGCGUUAUCCGGAUUUAUUGGGCGUAAAGCGAGCGCAGGCGGUUUUUUAAGUCUGAUGUGAAAGCCCUCGGCUUAACCGAGGAAGCGCAUCGGAAACUGGGAAACUUGAGUGCAGAAGAGGACAGUGGAACUCCAUGUGUAGCGGUGAAAUGCGUAGAUAUAUGGAAGAACACCAGUGGCGAAGGCGGCUGUCUGGUCUGUAACUGACGCUGAGGCUCGAAAGCAUGGGUAGCGAACAGGAUUAGAUACCCUG